rnacentral:rRNA from 1 species
ACUCCUACGGGAGGCAGCAGUGGGGAAUAUUGGACAAUGGGGGGAACCCGUGAUCCAGCCAUGCCGCGUGUGUGAAGAAGGCCUUAUGGUUGUAAAGCACUUUAAGCGAGGAGGAGGCUCUUUUGGUUAAUACCCAAGAUGAGUGGACGUUACUCGCAGAAUAAGCACCGGCUAACUCUGUGCCAGCAGCCGCGGGUAAUACAGAGGGUGCGAGCGUUAAUCGGAUUUACUGGGCGUAAAGCGUGCGUAGGCGGCUUUUUAAGUCGGAUGUGAAAUCCCCGAGCUUAACUUGGGGAAUUGCAUUCGAUACUGGGGAGCUAGAGUAUGGGAGAGGAUGGUAGAAUUCCAGGUGUAGCGGUGAAAUGCGUAGAGAUCUGGAGGAAUACCGAUGGCGAAGGCAGCCAUCUGGCCUAAUACUGACGCUGAGGUACGAAAGACAUGGGGAGC